UUCAUCAGGGACUGAUUACGUAGGAGAGAC
rnacentral:piRNA from 1 species